AUGGACAUGAGGGCCCCUGCUCAGUUUUUUGGGAUCUUGUUGCUCUGGUUUCCAGGUAUCAGAUGUGACAUCAAGAUGACCCAGUCUCCAUCCUCCAUGUAUGCAUCGCUGGGAGAGAGAGUCACUAUCACUUGCAAGGCGAGUCAGGACAUUAAAAGCUAUUUAAGCUGGUACCAGCAGAAACCAUGGAAAUCUCCUAAGACCCUGAUCUAUUAUGCAACAAGCUUGGCAGAUGGGGUCCCAUCAAGAUUCAGUGGCAGUGGAUCUGGGCAAGAUUAUUCUCUAACCAUCAGCAGCCUGGAGUCUGACGAUACAGCAACUUAUUACUGUCUACAGCAUGGUGAGAGCCCUCC